UUUAUUGAAAAAAGAUAGUACAGCCCACGACAAUUGUUUAGAUACUGAAGCUUUCAAAACCCAUUAAAUACAUAUAGCCUAACUACUGAAAAUUGUGGGAAAAGCAUUCCAAAACCACAAUGACAUCAACUUGCAUUAUAAUCUAUAAAUUCUCGUCAUUUUCUUAUUCAUUUGACUUAAUGGUAAUUUGUCUUGAAAUAGAACAAA
rnacentral:lncRNA from 1 species